rnacentral:rRNA from 1 species
UACAGAGGGUGCGAGCGUUAAUCGGAAUUACUGGGCGUAAAGCGCGCGUAGGCGGCUUUGCAAGUCGGGUGUGAAAUCCCCAGGCUUAACCUGGGAACUGCAUUCGAGACUGCAUUGCUAGAGUAUGGGAGAGGGAAGCGGAAUUUCCGGUGUAGCGGUGAAAUGCGUAGAUAUCGGAAGGAACACCAGUGGCGAAAGCGGCUUCCUGGUCCAGCAUCGACGUUCAGGCACGAAAGCGUGGGGAGCAAACAGG